rnacentral:rRNA from 1 species
AACAAACGCUGGCGGCGUGCCUAACACAUGCAAGUCGAGGGGCAGCAUAGGGUAGCAAUACUCUGAUGGCGACCGGCAAACGGGUGAGUAACGCGUAUGCAACCUACCCUGUACAGGGGGAUAACCCGGAGAAAUUCGGACUAAUAUCCCGUAAUAAUAUCCGGAGGCAUCUUUGGAUAUUUAAAGUUCCGACGGUACGGGAUGGGCAUGCGUAACAUUAGCUGGUUGGUAAGGUAACGGCUUACCAAGGCUAUGAUGUUUAGGGGUCCUGAGAGGGUGGUCCCCCACACUGGUACUGAGACACGGACCAGACUCCUACGGGAGGCAGCAGUGAGGAAUAUUGGUCAAUGGGCGCAAGCCUGAACCAGCCAUCCCGCGUGCAGGAAGACGGCCCUAUGGGUUGUAAACUGCUUUUCCAGGGAGAGAAACUUACGCACGUGUUGCGUGACUGACGGUACCCUGGGAAUAAGCAUCGGCUAACUCCGUGCCAGCAGCCGCGGUAAUAUCA